UGGGUGAAUCAAGGAAGUUUCUGUCUGUGAA
rnacentral:piRNA from 1 species